UACGUAGGGUGCAAGCGUUAAUCGGAAUUACUGGGCAUAAAGCGUGCGCAGGCGGUUUUGUAAGUCUGACGUGAAAUCCCCGGGCUCAACCUGGGAAUUGCGAUGGAGACUGCAAGGCUAGAAUCUGGCAGAGGGGGGUAGAAUUCCACGUGUAGCAGUGAAAUGCGUAGAGAUGUGGAGGAACACCGAUGGCGAAGGCAGCCCCCUGGGUCAAGAUUGACGCUCAUGCACGAAAGCGUGGGGAGCAAACAGG
rnacentral:rRNA from 1 species